UGGGGAAUAUUGGGCAAUGGGCGCAAGCCUGACCCAGCAACGCCGCGUGAGGGAAGAAGGUCUUCGGAUUGUAAACCUCUGUCCUUGGGGACGAAAAAAAUGACGGUACCCAAGGAGGAAGCUCCGGCUAACUACGUGCCAGCAGCCGCGGUACUACGUAGGGAGCGAGCGUUGUCCGGAAUUACUGGGCGUAACGGGGGCGUAGGCGGCAUGGCAAGUCAGAUGUGAAAUCCCCGGGCUUAACUCGGGGGGUGCAUUGGAAACUGCUGUGCUUGAGUGCAGGAGAGGAAAGCGGAAUUCCUAGUGUAGCGGUGAAAUGCGUAGAUAUUAGGAGGAACACCAGUGGCGAAGGCGGCUUUCUGGACUGUAACUGACGCUGAGGCACGAAAGCGUGGGGAGCAAACA
rnacentral:rRNA from 1 species